GGGUAGCAGAUAGCCAAAAAGAGGUGACCUAAUGCUCUCCAAAAUUAACCUAGGGGUCUUGGUUUGGAAUAAAGUGUUCGUGACUAUAGCCCUUUCUCCUGUUUUAAAAAAACAAAUCAUUGUUAUUAGCACAGAUGACUAUCAAUUAGAAUAAAUAUUUAGCUUUUAAACAAAAGUGGAAAUAGUUCAAUCAGUGUUGGUGAAACUAUUUUGAGACAAGAGAUUUCAUUUAGAUAACUUAAGUUGGGAAUCUGUUCCUCUUUCGAAGAGCCUGUGUGAUGACUGAAAGUGCUGUGUGUUUUCAGUGACCUUGAGGAAGGGAGCCAGUCAUUUCUUCUUAAGGGUUGUAAGAAGUAGGGGCCUUGCUGAUCUCAUGCUUUUCAGUUCAAAAACUGUGUCCAGAACAUCUUAGAUCUCCUUCACCCACAGUGUUCAAAGGCUGUCUGUAUUUCAGGCUCAGUCUACCCUACCUUCAGCUGAGCCUGUCUUCCAGCUCUGUUCCCUCAUACUAAAUUUACAGGUGAGCGUUCUCCAUUCUUAGUUUGUUUUUUUUUAAAGUCUUUACUCAUUUUACUGUUAUGAGAAAUGACCACCACCUUCUCCUUUUCUCAAGAAAUAUAAAGGUAGAAGAGAUAUUCCUUUUCCAUUAUUUUUAAAAGCUAUUGUUUUUGGACUGCUGGCACUUGGCAGUUUAGUUUUCAGACCCUAAUCUGAAUUAAGUUGAUGGAGGUGACCCUAAAAUUGAUCUAAAGUUUUAAUCUUGCUUUAUCAUAUAAGCAUCUGGUUGGAAACUGUGCUGAUGAAGAUUUGUAUUUUGUGGCAUUGGUUCUUCAUGUUUCUUUUUUAUGUAUUUAAAAUCGAUCAUUAAUUUCCAAACAAGUGGAGAAUUUACUGUUGUUGAGCUAUGUAGAGGGCAAGUGUGCUUGAUUAGAGCAUGAACUGUACUUUCACAUUAGCUGAUGUGCUUUGCACUCUGCUCUUGUAGAUUUAUUUUGUUUACAGUAGACUGAUGUCAAGUUUUUGUAAAUGUUUUUUACUUAGCACUUUAACUGUGAGUGUACAAACUGAUUUUAAAUGUAGUGGUUGUAUAUUUUGGUUAUAAAUUGGAAAUUUGUAAUAAAAAUUAAAUGAUUUGUUCUCU
rnacentral:lncRNA from 1 species